UACGUAGGGGGCAAGCGUUGUCCGGAUUUACUGGGCGUAAAGAGCGCGUGGGCGGAAGCUUAAGUGUGGCCUGAAAGCCCCCGGCUCAACCGGGGAAGGUGGCUGCAAACUGGGCUUCUUGAGGGGGAUAGGGGAAAGUGGAAUUCCGGGUGUAGCGGUGAAAUGCGUAGAGAUCCGGAGGAACACCAGUGGCGAAGGCGGCUUUCUGGGUCCGCCCUGACGCUGAGGCUCGAAAGCGUGGGGAGCAAACAGG
rnacentral:rRNA from 1 species